rnacentral:rRNA from 1 species
UACGGGGGGGGCAAGCGUUGUUCGGAAUCACUGGGCGUAAAGGGAGCGUAGGCGGGCGUUUAAGUUAGGUGUUUAAUCCCGGGGCCCAACCCCGGACCGGCACCUAAAACUGGACGUCUUGAAUAGUGGAGAGGUCGGUGGAAUUGGAGGUGUAGCGGUGGAAUGCGUAGAGAUCUCCAAGAACACCCGUUGCGAAGGCGGCCGACUGGACACAUAUUGACGCUGAGGCUCGAAAGCACGGGGAGCAAACAGG